UAAAAAGGAGCAAUUUAUACUCAGACUGUUCAUGAUAUUGAAGUGUUAACAGAAUGGAACAUUGAGUCACUUAUUGAACAGUUUAGGAAAAGGCCUAAAUGCUUUUUCAUUUUGACCAACUCCCGUGCACUGAGUUCUGAUAAGGCCACUGUAUUGGUAGAAGAUAUCUGCCGAAACCUAUGUACUGCAUCCAAGUCAGUUGAGAAAACUGACUUUACAAUAGUUCUGAGGGGUGAUUCAACCUUACGUGGUCAAUAUGUUAUAAAUACUAGCAA